CGCACAUUGCGCCCUUUGGUAUUCCGAAGGGCAUGCCUGUUCGAGCGUCAUUAUCACCCCUCAAGCCCCGGGCUUGUCGUUGGAUCCAAGUUCGCCCACCUUGCUGUGGCCAACUGGUCUCAAAGAUAACGACGGUGUCUGUGGGACCCUCUCGGUGCAACGAGCCUUCUGGCACGCACCUGAGUUGCAAAGGGUUCCCGGCCGGUCUCCCCUUAAAAUUUUCUAAGGUUGACCUCGGAUCAGGUAGGAAUACCCGCUGAACUUAA
rnacentral:misc_RNA from 1 species